GACUGCAGGUAUAUUAUCCUGCAUCAUAAUCCUGUCUUCUCACAUGCUAAGUGGGGUUGGGCUAAAUCAGUAUUUGGAUGGGAGACAACCUAGAAACAAUUAGGUGCUACAGCAA
ensembl:rRNA 5S_rRNA 5S ribosomal RNA